AAGUCGUAACAAGGUUUCCGUAGGUGAACCUGCGGAAGGAUCAUUAACAACAUGGUGCAGAGGUCUCGAAUCAGAACUUUCCUCCCACUUGAUUUACCGAGAUUGCUGCUUACACACACAAGCUACAAGAGCAGGACUGAAAGUUCACGGGGGUUUAACGUUUGGUUACAAUUGAGCGGUAGAAGCAGUGGCAUGGCGUCCCAAGCCUCCAAGUGAAUGUCAGUGUCAUUUUGGAACAAGUGAGGGAUAACGCUUCUCGGUUGCUAGAGGUCGCUCACCGACCGGCAGACAUGUCACAGGGCCUUGCGCCCCCUAAUCACCCCUUGCCUAUCACCCCCGCCUCCUGAUGAAAGUCCGAGGCAAAAAAAACCGAACAACUGUUAACAAUGGAUAUCUUGGUUCUC
rnacentral:misc_RNA from 1 species